ACGGGUGCGUAACACGUAUGCAACCUACCUCUUACUGAAGGAUAGCCCAGAGAAAUUUGGAUUAAUACUUCAUAACACCACAAGAUCGCAUGAUCUCAUGGUUAAAGGUUACGGUAAGAGAUGGGCAUGCGUCCCAUUAGUUUGUUGGUGAGGUAAUGGCUCACCAAGACUACGAUAGGUAGGGGGUCUGAGAGGAUUAUCCCCCACACUGGUACUGAGACACGGACCAGACUCCUACGGGAGGCAGCAGUGAGGAAUAUUGCGCAAUGGACGAAAGUCUGACGCAGCCAUGCCGCGUGAAGGAUGACGGCGCUACGCGUUGUAAACUUCUUUUAUAUACCAAGAAACCUUCGGACGUGUCCGAAGCUGACGGUAGUAUAUGAAUAAGCACCGGCUAACUCCGUGCCAGCAGCCGCGGUAAUACGGAGGGUGCAAGCGUUAUCCGGAUUUAUUGGGUUUAAAGGGUCCGUAGGCGGAUCAUUAAGUCAGUGGUGAAAGCCGACAGCUCAACUGUCGAACUGCCAUUGAUACUGGUGAUCUUGAGUACGGUUGAAGUAGGCGGAAUAUGACAUGUAGCGGUGAAAUGCUUAGAAAUGUCAUAGAACACCGAUUGCGAAGGCAGCCUACUAAGCCGUUACUGACGCUGAGGGACGAAAGUGUGGGGAGCGAACAGGAUUGGAUACCCUGGUAGUCCACACCGUAAACGAUGAUUACUCGGUAUUGGCUUUAUUGUCAGUGCCCAAGCGAAAGUGAUAA
rnacentral:rRNA from 1 species